rnacentral:rRNA from 1 species
CUACGGGAGGCAGCAGUGGGGAAUUUUGGACAAUGGGCGAAAGCGUGAUCCAGCAAUGCCGCGUGUGUGAAGAAGGCCUUCGGGUUGUAAAGCACUUUUGUCCGGAAAGAAAACCUCCGCCCUAAUAUGGUGGGGGGAUGACGGUACCGGAAGAAUAAGCACCGGCUAACUACGUGCCAGCAGCCGCGGUAAUACGUAGGGUGCAAGCGUUAAUCGGAAUUACUGGGCGUAAAGCGUGCGCAGGCGGUCCGCUAAGACAGAUGUGAAAUCCCCGGGCUUAACCUGGGAACUGCAUUUGUGACUGGCGGGCUAGAGUAUGGCAGAGGGGGGUAGAAUUCCACGUGUAGCAGUGAAAUGCGUAGAGAUGUGGAGGAAUACCGAUGGCGAAGGCAGCCCCCUGGGCCAAUACUGACGCUCAUGCACGAAAGCGUGGGGAGCAAACAGGAUUAGAUACCCUGGUAGUCCACGCCCUAAACGAUGUCAACUAGUUGUUGGGGAUUCAUUUCCUUAGUAACGUAGCUAACGCGUGAAGUUGACCGCCUGGGGAGUACGGUCGCAAGAUUAAAACUCAAAGGAAUUGACGGGGACCCGCACAAGCGGUGGAUGAUGUGGAUUAAUUCGAUGCAACGCGAAAAACCUUACCUACCCUUGACAUGUAUG